AGUUGUUCGAUAACAAUCCAGGCAGUUUGCGGGAAGAUUAAUGCCUUCGUAUGCUCUGCUAUCUGCUCAGUAAUUCCUUUCUUAUGAAAUUUCGCUGCAGUCAGCUCUCAGAUUUGAAGCCCACCUACAGGUCCCUCGGUCCCUUCAGAAGUACCAGAUAAGUGCACUGUAUGUUGUGUUGAUCAAGAGCGGGGAAGGAGAGUUUAGAACAUGUGUGAGCAUAUUAUUGUCAGGUAAUUAAUUUGGAUGCACUUAGUACUUUUCAGCUGUAUCAAAUGCAUAGCAGCAUAGCUGCACUGCAUCUUGAUGAUCGAAUUCGAUGAUUUAUGUUGAAUGUAUUGAGGGUGGAUAAUGGUGCCAAGAUGUUGUAAAUGAAAAUUUGGUAAUAUUCGAGCUAAAACUUAGUCAUACUAGAAACUAAUACCAGCUUGUGAUGAUGUAAAGAUGAUCCCUCCAAGGCUGAUUUAUUUAAAGUGUAAACACUAUCUAGAACACAUAAUUCUUUACACAAGAAUGAGCCAUGACGGUGGCUAUUUGUCGACCUUUGUAAGGACACCAGUACAUAAGAGUUGAAUUAUCCUAUUAAGACUUGCCACCUUUGAUUUGUUGAGAUAUUUAUAAUUGUGCAUGAUAUCUAGCUAAUAUGCAGUUUUGAGGAUUUCCUUUCCUUUUGUUUCAGAUGAAAUAAUUUUUCUACAGGGCAAGGAUUACUUUCUACUUCACUGGUCAGGGUCAAGCUAUCUUCGAAGAUGGCUCCAAGGUCAUCUGAGCUCCUCCAUUUGUGGCUUUGGAAGGGGUGGGCAAGACCAUGGCUUGUGUGAUAAAUGGGCAGACCGGUAAUGUUGGACUUCAUGGCGGUGUUGGACAGUUCCAAGGAAAACAUGGGAUCCUUCAUUUGGUGAUUCGGACAGUGAGCAUUUUCCGCCUAUUGUAUGUCAAAUAAAGCCAUGGUGGAAAGUGGAAACUCACAUAAUUUGUUUGCAGGGUCUUGCUGAAAUGGGAUGAAGAUUUAUGUACCUUCACGUCUUGAAGACAUUCUAUUAAGAUUGCUAUUUCAGUGCAGUAAAUUUCAGAUUUGUCAAGGAGGUGGAAAUACUGACGGUGGUCUCAUUAGGCUGUUUGAUUUAGCCUGAACCGAACGAUAUAUGCAAGGUAAGGUUGGAGGCCCCUCUGCAUUGUAAAGGCCAUACGGACAAACAUACAGAUUGUAGAUUUUCGUCUACUUCUUCUUUAUUGGUAACUACCAUUGUCUUUGCUUCAUCUCUGUAAUGUUGUUCACACUUUGUAGAUUCCACCUUUCUCAUUCUAUUAUCUCUAAUUGUUAUGUUCAGGUAAAGGAUGUUUCUCCUCUAUUCCCAUCCUAGGGCAAUUAAUUCGUUUUACAGAUAAUGACUAUUAGUUGGGUUAUACGAAGCACCAGAUUUUACUCUGGAUGCCAUCUUCUUUAGCAAGAGUAUUCACUGGAUAUACUGCCAUAAGGAAAUGUACUUCCUAUUGAUUAGCGCUCAAGGAAA